rnacentral:rRNA from 1 species
CCUACGGGAGGCAGCAGUGGGGAAUAUUGCACAAUGGGCGCAAGCCUGGUGCAGCCAUGCCGCGUGUGUGAAGAAGGCCUUCGGGUUGUAAAGCACUUUCAGCGGGGAGGAAGGCGUUAAGGUUAAUAACCUUGGCGAUUGACGUUACCCGCAGAAGAAGCACCGGCUAACUCCGUGCCAGCAGCCGCGGUAAUACGGAGGGUGCAAGCGUUAAUCGGAAUUACUGGGCGUAAAGCGCACGCAGGCGGUCUGUCAAGUCGGAUGUGAAAUCCCCGGGCUCAACCUGGGAACUGCAUUCGAAACUGGCAGGCUAGAGUCUUGUAGAGGGGGGUAGAAUUCCAGGUGUAGCGGUGAAAUGCGUAGAGAUCUGGAGGAAUACCGGUGGCGAAGGCGGCCCCCUGGACAAAGACUGACGCCCAGGUGCGAAAGCGUGGGGAGCAAACAGGAUUAGAUACCCCAGUAGUC